CGCUGCGGGCGUCCCCAUCGCGAAAGAAAAAUCUCCUUUCCCUUCUCCACGGCUGCACCUUCAUCCUCUCCCUCCCCUGCCGCCUCGAUCCCCCUGUCCCGCACUCCCUCUCGCCGGCCGGAGGCGGCUCUGGCCGGCGGGGCGAAGCCACCGGAAUCAUGGCCAAGUCCGGUGCCUGUAAGAAGGCGGCACCAGCCCGGUCAACGGCAACCUCGCCGCCGCCGCAGCUCGUCCCGGCAGGCUCGUGACGCCAGCCGCUCGCCACAGCCGCUCUUCUACGCCGGCGCUCCGACUAGCUCGUCCACCAGUCCGUCGACACCGCCGCACCUGUACCCCUCUCUCAUAGAUUCCUCUACUGCAAACCCUACAUGGAGGCCAAUGUACACCCCUGCAUCUGAAGGCUUGCUAAGUUUUGGACAAUUCUCUCCAAUGCAUCCUUAUAAUUUUCGACCUCAUAUAGAUCAUAAAGUUAAAGUACUACUAUAGAUCCCACAAAACAAUAAAUGGCAACCUUCAUGUUA